AGGGCUCUAGGCACUGGGAAUACAGCUAUGAAUGACCCAUCUACAAGAUAAAUACCUUAAAAAGCUGCUGGAUCAGAGGAGCUUCUUAGAAGGUAUUCUGCCUUCAUAAAUUUCCAGAAGAGCAGCUUAGACCUGGCUGUACAUUCAUGGAUAUCUCCAAACUCUAGGAGAAGCUUGUCACACUCUCCCAAGAGACAUCUUACCACACUCCACUUGGAUAGUAAUCCCAGUGUGAGACAUCAGAUUGUACAAUUCAAAGCAAUAGAUACUACUGUAUAAAACUGAGAAAAUGCAGACAAGAAAAUAGCAAAGCAAAAUAAGACAACAACAAAAAAUUGGGGACAUUGAUGCUGACAGAGAAAGACCAAGGGAGCCUUUGUGACUUCAUCCAAAUGUCAUAACAAAAG